rnacentral:lncRNA from 1 species
AUGGGCGGGGCGGGGCGGCGGGCGGGGCUGGCUCCCGGCUCCGGCCCUACCCCGGCCCGGCCGCCGAGGGAGGUCAGUGGGCGCCGCCCGCCGAGCGCAUCCCGCCGGCUCCCACCCGAGCGCUCGCCGCGGUGCACGCUGGGAGCGGGGGCCGGAGCGGCGAGGCCUGGCCGCGCUGACCGGGCGGGCGGCCGAGGCGCCGGCGCGGCGGUGGGUCUGUGUCUGCGGGCCGGGCGGGGGAGGCCGCUUGUUACUCACUUCGCAGGGCGGGGGCGACGCCCCCUCCCGCGGCUGCGGCUGGCAGGGAGCGCACCCGGGGGAAGGGAGGGUCAGCCGGCGGACGCAGGCGCACAGCUCAGGUGCGGCCGCACUGCGGUUGCCCGGGGUAACGCGGGCCCGGGCGGGGCGGGGCGGGGCGGGAGGAGCGAGGCGGGCGAGCGGGAGCGCGCGCGCGGCGGCCGUAGGGGCGGGGAAGGAGGGGGACCCGGGAGCAGCCUGGGGUGGCGGCGAGGGCGCGCGCGGGCGGCCGGCGGGGCGGGGGCAGAGGCGGGGGGAAGGGGCGCGGGCCGGGCGGCGCGCAUGCGUGCGGGCCCCGCUCCCCCGGGGCUCGCCGGCCUCGUGCGUGCGCACGCGCGCUGUCCCCCGGAGGCGUCUGGGUGUGCGGAGCGCGCGCGCGCGGCUCGGAGGCGCACCUGUGAGGUGUCCCCGGAGGAGAGGGAGGGUGGGUGCGCGGAGCCCGCGGCCUGGGGCGCUUCAGCCCCUCACUUGGAAGCGCCCUGCGUCCCAGCAGCGCCAGGCGAGCAUCCUGCUCAGGUGAUGAGGAACCCUCCGCGCACCCAGCGCAGAACGCCGCUGCCGCUGGACGCCUCCAUUGUUUGACCACAACAAGGGCCGGAUUCUCACCCAGACCUGCAGAUCCAAUAGAGACAUCUCUCUGGGAGAUAAGGGAGCUUCUUCCUCAAGAUCCAGAAAG